rnacentral:rRNA from 1 species
UACGUAGGGGGCGAGCGUUGUCCGGAUUUAUUGGGCGUAAAGAGCGUGUAGGCGGCCAGGUAGGUCCGUUGUGAAAACUCGAGGCUCAACCUCGAGACGUCGAUGGAAACCAUCUGGCUAGAGUCCGGAAGAGGAGAGUGGAAUUCCUGGUGUAGCGGUGAAAUGCGCAGAUAUCAGGAAGAACACCUAUGGCGAAGGCAGCUCUCUGGGACGGUACUGACGCUGAGACGCGAAGGCGUGGGGAGCGAACAGG